AGAGUUUGAUCCUAGCUCAGGAUGAACGCUGGCGGCGUGGAUAAGGCAUGCAAGUCGAACGGACCUUGCUGUUUGAUAGAUGAAAUGAGUAGCAAUACAAGUGAAGUUUUGAUAACAGCGCUGGUUAGUGGCAAACGAGGUAGUAACACGUGGGUAUUUCCCCCCAAGUCGUGAAUAACACAUCGAAAGGUGUGCUAAUACACGAUAGUCUCUCCGGAGUAAAGUUUUAACGCUUGGGGAAAAGCCUGCGGAGUAUCAGCUAGUUGGUAGGGUAACGGCCUACCAAGGCGAUGACGCUUAGAGGACCUGAGAGGGUGACCCUCACCGAUGGGACUGAGACACGGCCCAUACACCUACGGGUGGCUGCAGUCGAGAAUCUUCCGCAAUGGACGAAAGUCUGACGGAGCGACGCCGCGUGAUUGAUGAAGUCCCUCUGGGACGUAAAGAUCUUUUAUGAGGGAAGAAGUUUAUUGACGGUACCUCAUGAAUAAGGGGCUCCUAAUCUCGUGCCAGCAGGAGCGGUAAUACGAGAGCCUCGAGCGUUAUCCGGAAUUAUUGGGCGUAAAGGGUGCGUAGGUUGUUCUGUUAGUCUUUUGUGAAAGACCCGGGCUUAACUUGGGGAACGCAAAAGAAACGGCAGAACUUGAAAGUGUGAGAGGUGUACAGAACUCAUGGUGUAGGGGUGAAAUCCGUUGAUAUCAUGGGGAAUACCAAAAGCGAAGGCAGUACACUGGCACAUAUUUGACACUGAAGCACGAAAGCGUGGGUAGCGAAUGGGAUUAGAUACCCCAGUAGUCCACGCCCUAAACUAUGAUCUCUAGUCUUUCGGAGUAUCGACCCUCUGAGAGACGUAGCUAACGCGUUAAGAGAUCCGCCUGGGAAGUACGGCCGCAAGGCUAAAACUCAAAGGAAUAGACGGGGACUUGCACAAGCAGUGGAUUAUGUGGUUUAAUUCGAUGGUAAACGAAGAACCUUACCAGGGCUAGAAAUCAACGUGAAAUCUCUAGGAAACUAGAGCCCUCGCAAGACUAGUUGACAGGUGCUGCAUGGCCGUCGUCAGUUCGUGGUUUGAAUUGUACCCUUAAGUGGGCUAACGAACGCAACCCUCGUUGUGUGUUACAAGUGUCACACGAUACUGCCCCCGCCUAAGUUUUUAAUCUUUAUAGAUUGAAAUUUUAGGCGGGGGAGGAAGGAGAGGAUGACGCCAGGUCAGCAUGGCCCUUGAUGCCCUGGGCUACACACAUAAUACAAUGGCCAUUACAACGCGCAGCGACGAGGCGACUCUGAGCUAAUCGUCAAAAAUGGCCCCAGUUCGGAUUGAAGUCUGCAACUCGACUUCAUGAAGCCGGAAUUGCUAGUAAUCGCAGGUCAGACAUACUGCGGUGAAUACGUUCUCAAGUCUUGUACUCACCGCCCGUCAAUUCAAGGGAGCCGGGAGUACCCGAAGUAUCUUCAGAAGGAGGUCCUACGGUAAGCUCGGUGACAGGGAAUAAGUCGUAACAAGGCACGGGUAGCGGAAGCUGCUCGUG
rnacentral:rRNA from 1 species